UACGUAGGUGGCAAGCGUUAUCCGGAUUUAUUGGGUGUAAAGGGCGUGUAGGCGGGAAUGCAAGUCAGAUGUGAAAACUAUGGGCUCAACCCAUAGCCUGCAUUUGAAACUGUAUUUCUUGAGUGCUGGAGAGGCAAUCGGAAUUCCGUGUGUAGCGGUGAAAUGCGUAGAUAUACGGAGGAACACCAGUGGCGAAGGCGGCCUGCUGGACGAUGACUGACGUUGAGGCUCGAAAGCGUGGGGAGCAAACAGG
rnacentral:rRNA from 1 species